GCUCAGUUGGUUAAGUGUAUGACUCUUGAUUUCAGCUCAGGUCUUGAUCUCAGAGUCAUGAGUUCAAGUCUCAUUUUGGGCU
rnacentral:tRNA from 1 species